AUGAAGUCGAACGACAUUUAUUGGAUAUUUCAAACUCUUUUAACAAAUCAAAAACUGAAAAAUUGGGCGUGCAAAAUUAUUCAACUUAAUGACUUCUUAGUCAUACCCUUGUUUGAAGUCUCAGUCAUACCCUUGUUGUUUGAAGUCUCAGUCAUACCCUUGUUGUUUGAAGUCUCAGUCAUAACCUUGUUGUUUGAAGUCUCAGUCAUACCCUUGUUGUUUGAAGUCUCAGUCAUACCCUUGUUGUUUGAAGUCUCAGUCAUACCCUUGCUGUUUGAAGUCUCAGUCAUACCCUUGCUGUUUGAAGUCUCAGUCAUACCCUUGUUGUUUGAAGUCUCAGUCAUACCCUUGUUGUUUGAAGUCUCAGUCAUAACCUUGUUGUUUGAAGUCUCAGUCAUACCCUUGUUGUUUGAAGUCUCAGUCAUACCCUUGUUGUUUGAAGUCACAGUAGUUAUACCCUUGUUGUUUGAAGUCUCAUUCAUACCCUUGUUGUGAAGUCUCAGUCAUACCCUUGCUGUUUGAAGUCUCAGUCAUACCCUUGCUGUUUGAAGUCUCNNNNNNNNNNNNNNNNNNNNNNNNNNNNNNNNNNNNNNNNNNNNNNNNNNNNNNNNNNNNNNNNNNNNNNNNNNNNNNNNNNNNNNNNNNNNNNNNNNNNNNNNNNNUUCUCUAAGACUACGUUUUGACAGUAGACCUGAGGUGUACAGUGGAGAUGAUGCCGAGACAGCAGGACCUGCUGAAGUCACCCAGCUUCUCUAAGACUACGUUUUGACAGUAGACCUGAGGUGUACAGUGGAGAUGAUGCCGAGACAGCAGGACCUGCUGAAGUCACCCAGCUUCUCUAAGACUACGUUUUGACAGUAGACCUGAGGUGUACAGUGGAGAUGAUGCCGAGACAGCAGGACCUGCUGAAGUCACCCAGCUUCUCUAAGACUACGUUUUGACAGUAGACCUGAGGUGUACAGUGGAGAUGAUGCCGAGACAGCAGGACCUGCUGAAGUCACCCAGCUUUAGUGGCUUCAACACCACCAACGUUCUGCCUCAGCACUGUAUAGGAGAGAAGAAAUGUAGCAAAUACAAUAAUGUAUUAAUACAGAACUCAGUUAUGGCUGAUAUUAUUUGUCAAUUCAUCUGUUUUCAUUCAAGAGAGAAAUGACAAGCACAGGGCAUUGUGACAGUGUUACUUACAAUCACUGUCCAGUAGUUGGCGCUUCUGUACCAAGAAAAUCUCAUUAUUAUAAGGAUAAUAAUUUGUCAGUGAUAAGGACCUCUCCAUCCAUACUGCAAAACACACUAUAGAAAAUUAUACUGAAACUUUUUUCAAACACUAAAUAUUUUAUUUGCAGCACUUAGUUUUGACUGAAAUACAUCAUUCAACAGUUAGUUUGUUAGCUGUUAUUUAAUAUGCUAAUUAGCAGUAAGAAAGCCUUCAACCAACACUGUACUUUCAAGCAUUUAUCAUCCAAAACCAACAGUCUGUAAAAGCUUCACUACACACUGACGGCAGCCAGCAAAAUACCAGACGAAUAAGUCCACAUCUACUCAGUCAUCACAGUUACAACAGCCUCUCAAGGAUACUGUUACCAAAAGUAGUAGUAGCAUUUUGUUCACCAAAUAAAUUCCACUGAAUCAAUCCAACGUAUUAACAAAACUCCCAACUGGUGUAUUAUUGCUAAAAGCAAAGAAAUAUGUCAAAUUUCUAAGAAAGCGCAAGGAGAUGGAGUGCUAUUGGACCCAUUUCCAAUAUUGUAAAUGUAAAAGGGAUUAGGCAUAUUUUAACAGAACAGAUGAACACUGAGCUGAAGUUGAUGCAAAAUAUUCUUCCGACUAAUUGCUGUGUGGACGAGAUGAUUAAAUGCAUUAUAAAGGGACAGGCUACACACCAAAGGAGAUAUACAUAAUCUAAUAUGGGCAAACGUCUUCAUCAUCGGAAAUUAUACUGAAAUAGUCAAGUACUUGAGAGACAGUUGAAGAGCAUCUGAAAUGACAUACUGUGUAUGACGGUCACAGUCUUUCUGGCUGGCUCAUCAAAUACUUGUGGGAGAUGACAACAUAAUAGCAUCUUCAUUAUCGGUAGGACUAUGGCAAAUUCCCCUGGCCUGCAUACGAGAAAUGACUCCUCACUUCUCUGAAGAAUGUUAAAGAACAGAGUAGCUACGUGUGCCUUUAAAAAGAAAAUGAUGUGUAGUUCUGUCCUUCAGCUGUUCUUGUCUAUUGAUGUUCUGUAUUAUGUCAUUCUGUAUUAUGUGUCAUGUUCUGUGUGGACCCCAGGAAGAGUAGCUGCUGCUUUUGCAACAGCUAAUGGGGAUCCUAAUAAAAUACCAAAGUAGCAGUGAGUGUGGUGCCCGAUCAAACCUACAGUGUCGUUGUGCAAAAUGGUACGCAGCAUCAUCUGGAUAUGUGUGCAACAAUUCAUCUUCUGCUAUCAUUUCUGUCAAACCGGCUACGCAUACAAUUUGACGCAUACAUUCGAUAAAUCCAACAUAUACAUCACACCGAACGCACUGCAACUGCCUCUGUAACGCAAUGUUGCAAGGCAAACACAGGGUUCCAUCGGAAAUGAAUGUAAUUCUGGUGUACCAAAAUGCAAUGACGCUGUCGGUGUAAAUGAAGCGUAAGAAUGAGCAGUAAGCAGUGACCACCAUCCCUCAUAUCUACCGUAAUGCUGACUCAAUCCGGCAUUCUGUAAACAUCAGUGCACACCUAGGGCCUGUUUCAAUCAAACUCAGGAACCUAACCCGAUCCACAGAAUCAGAACCAUUCUUAUGCUGCAAUAAUUCACCUUGUUUCUAGUGUGUUGAAACUCAACUCAAUUGUAUGUGCGGGUAGAGUGUCGUCUUUGACACAACCUGGAAGGCUGGUUAAUGGUUCUGAAUGAAUAGUUGGGUAGUAGUUUUGAAUAAAUAGGUGGGUACUGGUUUUGAACCUAACCCACUGGGCACAGACGUCAAUUCAACGUCUAUUUCACGUUGGUUCAAUGUAAUUUAAUUGAAAUUACGUAGAAACAACGUUGAUUCAACCAGUGUGUGGCCAGUAGUAAUGUAUUAAAAUGUAAUUGCUUGGUGCUCUUCAACAUUAUUCAUUGAUGAUCUAUAAUAGUAGAAUAUAAUUAUUGUAGAAGAUACAUGUGGCUUAUUGUGCUCCUGCUGGUCAAUGGCCUUGUGAAGUAAUGUCAAGGGCAGUUCUGGUAUCAGGCCUGGGGGCUGUGUGAAUGUUAUAGCCCUCCCACUGUUCCUUCAUAGAGCAGACAUCACCGCCGUAGCAGGCCUUGCGUUGUUUAUGGGUUCGCUUGUGUAAUUUGCGUAUCGGACCUGUGCGUGCCAGCUGUGUCAGUCACAUACUUCAACUGUCCCCUCAUUCAGACUAUUCCAUCUCUGCGGUUCGAUUUUUGGCUAAAAGCCACCAGCCAGCAAACAAUAUUCAAAACAAUAUCUAUUCUAACUAUCUGCAAUUGCAAAAGUACACAAUACAAAACUGAACACAGGGAAAUGCAACAACAAACAAAAACGACUAUGUGUGUCAUUAUCUCAUUAUGUAGAGUCAGAUGCAUUUCUGGUUGCUCUCAUUCAACAUGUAAAAGUAGUCCUUGUUAAGGCUUGUCCUGUUAACUCGCCAUGCAAAGAAACACAUUCCAUUACGAGCAGGAACACUGGACAGGGGGAAAGAAAGGUGAAAAAUGUUCAUCUUAUUUUAAGGCCCACUAUAUUACAUUGAUGGGCGUCUGUAACGUAGC
rnacentral:lncRNA from 13 species